UGUUACAUGGUAGGGUAUUUAUUCAGUACAUUUUUUCUUUUUCAAGUAAAGUAUAAGGGAGUUGUACUCCAGGCUAGUAGGUGGCGGUUAAGCAACAAAUUGGAUGCCAACCGCCGUUAAACCUCAGAAGAAGAAGAUUGUCGGACCAUCAACGGAAAAGGAAGAACGUCAUUAUACGGAAGAGGAAGGAAAGUGUGUUUGAAACUAAAAUCGCUAGUAACAACCAGCAUCAAACGUAACAUUGCUUGUCAAAUGGAUAUCAUUUCUCGUUAUGGUUUGUAGUUAUGCUGGCUUUGCUUCUGCUGUCUUUCUACAACAUCCGAAGGUGGGUUGUUCACACCAUCGCUUAGCUAGCUUCAGAAAGCUCAGCUACCUAGCUAGCUAAGUUAGCUAGUAAACACAAUGUAAGCUGGCUAGCAAAGAUACAUCCUGAAGUGAUAUAACGUUGUUAGCAAUACGAUGUGAAGUUAUAUGGUGUUAUUCUCAACUUGCUAUCAUCUUAGAUCAUCCAGAUGCAGGUUUACGUAGCUAACGUUAACCAGUUAACUGGGUCAGCAUGUCAUUACGUUAACUAGUUAACUGGGUCAGCAUGUCAUUACGUUAACAAGUAAUGUUGACAUUAUGGUCAACUGUGGCUCCCGAGUGGUGUAGCGGUCCGGGUUUGGCCCGUGUAGGCCGUUCAUUGUAAAUAAGAAUUAGUUCUUAACUGACUUGUCUAGUUAAACAAAGGUCACAAAAAAUGACAAUUUCCAGUGACACAGUAGCCAGCUAGCUCUGCAGACCCUGUUCUACUUCAGUAGCCAGCUAGCUCUGCAGACCCUGUUCUACUUCAGUAGUCAGCUAGCUCUGCAGACCCUGUUCUACUUCAGUAGCCAGCUAGCUCUGCAGACCCUGUUCUACUUCAGUAGCCAGCUAGCUCUGCACACCCUGUUCUACUUCAGUAGCCAGCUAGCUCUGCAGACCCUGUUCUACUUCAGUAGCCAGCUGGCUCUGCACACCCUGUUCUACUUCAGUAGCCAGCUAGCUCUGCAGACCCUGUUCUACUUAAGUAGCCAGCUAGCUCUGCAGACCCUGUUCUACUUCAGUAGCCAGCUAGCUCUGCAGACCCUGUUCUACUUCAGUAGCCAGCUAGCUCUGCAGACCCUGUCCUACUUCAGUAGCCAGCUAGCUCUGCAGACCCUGUUCUACUUCAGUAGCCAGCUAGCUCUGCAGACCCUGUUCUACUUCAGUAGCCAGCUAGCUCUGCCGACCCUGUUCUACUUCAGUAGCGAGUAUCAAGUGUAUGAGUGUGUCCUCAUUGCACGUCUGUUAUUUUAUGUCGCACCUCAAAUGAUGAGCUGGUGGACUGAGACCAGAUGGGGGGGUGUAAUAGGUGGUGACAUGACAGUGUGUUAUCAGAGGACUGAGACCAGAUGGGGGGUGUAAUAGGUGGUGACAUGACAGUGUGUUAUCAGAGGACUGAGACCAGAUGGGGGGUGUAAUAGGUGGUGCCAUGAAAGGGUGUUAUCAGAGGACUGAGACCAGAUGGGGGGUGAAAUAGGUGGUGACAUGACAGUGUGUUAUCAGAGGACUGAGACCAGAUGGGGGGUGAAAUAGGUGGUGACAUGACAGUGUGUUAUCAGAGGACUGAGACCAGAUGGGGGGUGUAAUAGGUGGUGACAUGACAGUGUGUUAUCAGAGGACUGAGACCAGAUGGGGGGGUGUAAUAGGUGGUGACAUGAGGGUGGGUAUAAUUUGUGUAACGUUACAACAAAAAAAAAAAACUUCGUAAAUAUCAAGGUUGCCAACAAACAACACAAACAAAGUCGUAUAACGGUAGAAUGAGAUACCGGGUAGAGAGUGAACAAUGUAAUAACGUUUUUCAACCACCACGUUUAUUCUGAAAAAUGUCUCUCUUCGUUCUGGUAGCCUCCACCAUUCCUCGUUCGUUGGUUUAGUUAUUAUUUCCGGGGUUCCUGCAUUCGUAAGGUGAACUCUGUUGCGCCUCAAUUAGGGAAUCGCUAUGGUUGAAAUGUAACUAAUCACUGCCAGCCCCAGUAUUUUAUUAGCUAGGUGGCUUGGACACAAUUGUUACCGAUGAUACUGUAUACACCAGCCUACUAUUAUUACAUAAACAUACAUUGUAUUUUACCAAGUUCUCUCUGUGUUAAUCCUGUUUCCCAAAUAUAUCAGCUAACUUGUGUCGAUGUUGUUUAGUUCAACUUGCCUAGUUAAAUAAAGAUUAAAUAAAUUAGAACAUAUAAAAUAUAUGCUUUGACCUAUUCCAGGUAACCUAAAGAUGCUUGAUUCACUACAGCUGCUUUUGAAGAACUUUCCAGUCGUAUUUGCUUUACAUUCCGACUUUACAUUCCGACUUUUGAACGUGUGUUUAUUGGACAUAUAUAUUAGUGUCUAAUAAAACAGAGCAUCCCAUCUGUUUUAAGGUUAUAGUUUGUGUGAUGUAGUUCCUCUUGAUGUCCACUAGGUGUCAGCACAGUUUCAAUAAUGUCACACCAGGUUACUACAUGUUUUCAUGUUGUGAAUGCUACAUGUGUAGACCUUACAGUGAAAUGUUGACUUACAAGCCCUUAACCAACAAUUUAGUUUUAAGAAAAAUAUGUGUUAAGUAAAAAAUAAGAAAUAAAAGUAACAAAUAAUUAAAGAGCAGCAGUAAAAUCAAAAUAGCGAGGCUCGAUACAUGGGGUACCGGUUAGUCGAGGUAAUUGAGGUGUUCCUUUCAAGUCCAGUGGUGUAAAUUACUUAACAAAAAUGUAUUUAAACUACUCCACUACAUUCCGUUUAUAUAUCUGGUUAUUUUGUAUCUGUACUUUUACUCUCCCUACUGCCUCUGAUCUGGAGGACUCACUAAACAGAGAACAUCCCUGGUCAUCCCUACUGCCUCUGAUCUGGAGGACUCACUAAACAGAGAACAUCCCUGGUCAUCCCUACUGCCUCUGAUCUGGAGGACUCACUAAACAGAGAACAUCCCUGGUCAUCCCUACUGCCUCUGAUCUGGAGGACUCACUAAAC
rnacentral:lncRNA from 1 species